rnacentral:lncRNA from 1 species
CUCUGCUGUCAGAACUCUGGUGCUGACGGGGAGUGUAUCGGUUCUUUUUCUGUUGCUGUAACAGACAUAACUGAAACUGGGUCCUCAGAGUUAGCUGGGACUUAAACCAGGGCCUUGUGCUUCCUACACAAGCCCCAAAGUCAUAAACCCUGAUCACAAAUUUAUUUUAUUUAUUCAGGUCAAAGGUCAAAGGUUCCACUUCCUUGAUCUUCCUCCCACUGGAGAUCAAGCUUGGAUGAAUUCACUGGGUAUGAAACCACUACAAACCAUAGCAUGAGGACAGCUCGGAACCACAGGGUGGAUGAUUCUUUUUCGAUAAGGUGACUCUAGCUGGCAGUAACAGCUAACCAGAAGAAGUUCAUAGGAGGGAAGAGACCUGGCAAAAAUCUCCAACUCGGGCUGGAGAGAUAGCUCAAUGGUAAAAGCACUGACUGCUCUUCCAGAGGUCCUGAGUUCAAAUCCCAGCAACCACAUGGUGGCUCACAACCAUCUGUAAUGAGAUCUGAUGCCCUCUUCUGGUGUGUCUGAAGACAGCUACAGUGUACUCAUAUAUAAUAAAUAAAUCUUUAAAAAAAAAAACAACCCAAC